AUGGGUGAACCAAAGAGCAAUGACACUGCAAUGGUGCAUGAUGAGGAGAUGAUUGUCAGGAACAAGAUGAUCAGUAGCAGUGAAAUGGUUCAUUGCAGUGUGAUGCUCCAUGGUGACAAUAUGGUUCAAGAGAGCGAGAUAGUCCAUGGUGACGAGAUGGUGAUCAAUGGUAAUGAGAUGGUCCACGGUAGUGAGAUGAUCCACAGUAAUGAGAUGAUGAUCCACGGUAAUGAGAUGGUUCAAGUUAAUGACAUGAUCCAUAGUAAUGAGAUGGCUCAAGUUAACAACAUGGUCAAUGGUGAUGAGAUGGCCCAUGGUAAUCCAUUGGUCAGUGCUGAUGUGAGCCCACCAACCUCAUCAAGACGCCGGAAAAAGAAGUCACCAGUCUGGGAGCACUUCACCAUUCAACAUGUGCCUGGGGAUAAGAGAUGCCGAAUUGCAUGCUGCAACCUAUGCAAGGGAACCUUUGCAUAUAGUUCUGGCGCAAAAAUUGCAGGUACUAGUCAUCUCAAAAGGCACAUUAUACAGGGUUCAUGUCCUGUUAUCAAAAACCAAGAGAGGGAACUGGCAUUGCCUUUAGCAGAAGUGGCUGACAAUGAUGGUGAGGGUACCAUAGAACGCCCUUCUAAGAGGCGUUACAGGCGAAAUGGCUCUGCAAACGCUACAUUUGAUCAAGAACGUAGCAGCUUGUAUCUGGCAAAGCUCAUCAUUUUGCAUGACUACCCACUUCAUAUUGUUCAACAGCCAGCCUUCAGCGCUCUUAUUGGUAGUCUGCAACCGUGUUUCAAGUUGUCAGACGUUGAUGCAAUGGAGGGAGAAGUGUAUGCUGUGUAUCUGAAAGAAAAACACAACCUACUGCAAGCAUUAAGCACUAUGCCUGGAAGGAUGAGCCUCACCGUAGGAUUAUGGAUAACUAGUCAGACUCUUGGCUAUGUGUCAAUUGCGGGGCAGUUUAUUGACAUGGAGUGGAGAGUGCAUCGAAGAGUGCUUAAUUUCACGAUGGUUGCUUCUCCUCAUUCGCAGGAUGCACUUGCUGAAGCUAUCAGCAGAAGCCUUUUUGACUGGGGCAUGAGAGAGAAGCUAUUCGCCAUCACAUUGGAUAAUGAUUGCCCAUCUCAUGAUAUCUACAGUGCAAACCUGAGAGAUCAUCUUUCCAAUACGAACGGCGUCAUGCUUAAGGGCCAGCUAUUUGUUGUAAGGUGCUAUGCACAUAUCCUGAAUGCAGCUGCACAGGAUGUGAUUGCUUCAGUCCAUGGUGUCAUCUCUGGUAUCCGUGAAAGCAUAAAGUUCAUAAAAGCCUCUGAUAGUCACGACGAAAAGUUUGCUGAGAUUGCUCUGCAGCUGGAGAUCCCUGGUACCAAGACCCUUUGUCUGGAUGUUACAACCCAGUGGGACACCACCUAUCUGAUGCUCUUGGCUGCCUUGGAUUAUAGGCAGGCUUUCACUAUACUAGAAACAUGUGAUGAUAACUAUAACGAAGCGCCUUCAGCCGAGGACUGGAAAAAGGUUGAGGCUGCCAGCAAUUGUUUGAAGCUGCUCUAUGACUCGGCUCAUAGCGUCAUGGCAGUAGCAAACCCAACUUCAGACAUCUUUUUCCAUGAAGCCUGGAAACUUCAGCUAGAGCUGGCAAAUGCCGCGGCACAUGAAGAUCCAGUUGUCGGCAGCAUUGCUAGAGAUGUGCACGAGAGUUUCGACAAGUACUGGAAAGAUUGCAACCUCGUGUUAGCCGUCGCUGUUGUGAUGGAUCCGCGUUUUAAGAUGAAGCUUGUCGAGUUCAGUUACUCGAAGAUUUAUGGCGUCGAGGCAGCGAAGUAUGUUAAGGCGGUGAAUGAUUCAGUGCAUGAGCUUUAUAAGGAGUAUGUAGCACAGCCACCGGUCUAUGUUGAACAAUCUGCCAGCGGGAAUAAUACUCAAACAACUCCAGCUUCCACCGGUGAUGGUCUUGUGGACUUCGACAUGUAUCUUUCCGAGAUUGCUACAACCCAGCCCUCAAAAUCUGAACUAGAGCAGUACCUGGAAGAAUCCCUGACGCCACGUAGUACCCAAGAGUUUGACAUUCUCAACUGGUGGAAGCUUAACACGCUCAGGUUUCCAACGCUCUCGAAGAUGGCGCGUGAUGUCUUGGCCAUUCCGGUGUCCACAGUGAGCACGGUUAGUUCUAUAUUUUCUGCAGUAACAGGAAGCCGCAUGCUCGAUGACUAUAGAAGCUCGCUUCGUCCUGAAAUUGUGGAGGCACUUGUUUGCGCCAAAGACUGGCUCCUGCAUUCACCACCCGCCUCGCAGACACACAGUUGUGCAAUGCAGUAG
rnacentral:rRNA from 1 species